GCAAGUCGAGGGGUAACAUAGAGAGCUUGCUUUCUGAUGACGACCGGCGCACGGGUGAGUAACGCGUAUGCAACCUACCUUGUACAGGGGGAUAGCCCAGAGAAAUCUGGAUUAACACCGCAUAAUAUGAUUGAUUCGCAUGAAUUAGUUAUUAAAUCUUCGGAGGUACAAGAUGGGCAUGCGUAGCAUUAGUUAGUUGGUGAGGUAACGGCUCACCAAGACAAUGAUGCUUAGGGGGUCUGAGAGGGUGGUC
rnacentral:rRNA from 1 species